CCUACGGGAGGCAGCAGUGGGGAAUAUUGGGCAAUGGGCGCAAGCCUGACCCAGCAACGCCGCGUGAAGGAAGAAGGCCCUCGGGUUGUAAACUUCUUUUGUCAGGGACGAAACAAAUGACGGUACCUGACGAAUAAGCCACGGCUAACUACGUGCCAGCCGUCGCUGUAAUACGGGAGUGGCAAGUGUUAUCCGGAUUUACUGGGUGUAAAGGGCGUGUAGGCGGGAGAGCAAGUCAGAUGUGAAAUUCCAGGGCUCAACCCUGGAAAUGGAUUUGAAACUGUUUUUCUUGAGGGAUGGAGGGGGAGGCGGGAGUCCGGGUGGAGCGGUGAAAUGCGUAGAUAUACGGAGGAACACCAGUG
rnacentral:rRNA from 1 species